UCGCCGCCCGUGACUCGGCGAGAAGUCCAUUGAACCUUAUCAUUUAGAGGAAGGAGAAGUCGUAACAAGGUUUCCGUAGGUGAACCUGCGGAAGGAUCNUUG
rnacentral:rRNA from 1 species